rnacentral:rRNA from 1 species
GACGAACGCUGGCGGCGUGCUUAACACAUGCAAGUCGAACGGAAAGGCCCUGCUUUUGUGGGGUGCUCGAGUGGCGAACGGGUGAGUAACACGUGAGUAACCUGCCCUUGACUUUGGGAUAACUUCAGGAAACUGGGGCUAAUACCGGAUAGGAGCUCCUGCUGCAUGGUGGGGGUUGGAAAGUUUCGGCGGUUGGGGAUGGACUCGCGGCUUAUCAGCUUGUUGGUGGGGUAGUGGCUUACCAAGGCUUUGACGGGUAGCCGGCCUAAGAGGGUUACCGGCCACAUUGGGACUGAGAUACGGCCCAGACUCCUACGGGAGGCAGCAGUGGGGAAUAUUGCACAAUGGGCGGAAGCCUGAUGCAGCAACGCCGCGUGCGGGAUGACGGCCUUCGGGUUGUAAACCGCUUUCGCCUGUGACGAAGCGUGAGUGACGGUAAUGGGUAAAGAAGCACCGGCUAACUACGUG